rnacentral:rRNA from 1 species
GAUGAACGCUGGCGGUAUGCUUAACACAUGCAAGUCGAACGGACUCUUCGGAGUUAGUGGCGGACGGGUGAGUAACGCGUGAGAAUCUGGCUUUGGGUUCGGGACAACCACUGGAAACGGUGGCUAAUACCGGAUGUGCCGAGAGGUAAAAGAGAAAUUGCCUGAAGAUGAGCUCGCGUCUGAUUAGCUAGUUGGUGAGGUAAAGGCUCACCAAGGCAGCGAUCAGUAGCUGGUCUGAGAGGAUGACCAGCCACACUGGGACUGAGACACGGCCCAGACUCCGACGGGAGGCAGCAGUGGGGAAUGUUCCGCAAUGGGCGAAAGCCUGACGGAGCAAUACCGCGUGAGGGAAGAAGGCUCUUGGGUUGUAAACCUCUUUUCUUAGGGAAGAACAAAAUGACGGUACCUAAGGAAGCAGCAUCGGCUAACUCCGUG